ensembl:lncRNA
CUGCAAUAGGAAAAGAAACACAAAUGGUAAUUGCAGAGCCAAAUCCAAAUGUCUAUUGGAUAGGACAGAUAGAAUAAGAUGUGAGUCAAUAAAUGGGGAAAAUUUAUUGAAACACAGAUUCCUGAAGCACAGCUACUAAAAUCAGAAUUUCAAUGCACAAUGAUAAAUGAUUAACAGAGAGAUGAGAAAAUAGAACAAAAAUGGCAGAAAGAAACCAAAGGACAGCAAAUUGUGUCUCCAAGUACAUUAUAACAGGUAAACGGAGCAGCUAUAAAUACCCGAUGGUGAAUUUGUUAAAAUUAAUAUUUUUAAUAACUAAUUCUGUCCGACAUAUUGCAGAAUAUGUAGAAAAAAAUGGGAAACAAAAAAUAUAGGAUGAACGAUGAAAAAGACUUAUAAAUAAUAAAUGAAAUAAUUUGCCAGUUGAAGUUCCAAACCCGCACACAUUACUGAUGAAUGUCCCUACUGAUGCCAAAUAUUUUACCAUAACUGAUCUUUAUUUAGUUUACUACAGUGUGCUGCUUGCAGAAGAGAGAAGGUAUUUGUUUACAUAUACAGAAUUGAUAAGGAAAAUUAUGAGGAAAAUUAAACAAAUGAAACAGAACAAAGUGAUAAGAAAAAUUAAACAGAACUAUCAAGGCCAAAGUAAACAAAAUAUGUCAAAGUACUAAAUUUAAUUGGAUUAAUGCUUUACCUCUUGCACUAAUAAGCUAUCGCAUGCAAACUAACAGGAACAUGCACUUAACACCGCAUGAAAUGCUUACGGGUCGACCCAUGCAUGUGCCAUAUUGUAAAGGUCCUUGCAAAGGACUGCCUCUAGAGCAAUUAUAAAUGAAACUUCGAUAUAAUAUGAAGAAAUUAACUGCUAUGCAUAAAGUUAUCUAUUUACAGGAGAAAAGGAAAGAGCCCAGAGAGGAAUUGGAGACUGCCUGUCCAGUUGUUCCAGGUGACCAAGUAUAUCUGAGGGUAUUCCGGAGAAAGUGGAAUGAGCCCAGGAGAGAAGGAACCUACAAAGUGGUGAGAGCUACUCCAACAGCAGUCCAAGUGGAGGGAAGCACAACCUGGUAUCAUCUAAACCACUGUACUAGAGUUCCCACGGGAAAGGCAGAAAGAAAAGAAAACAGACAACCAGACGAUGCAGGAGAAAGUAACGAGGAAAGAUCAGAGACACAUGAUGAAGUGCAAACUGACGAGAGCACAAAGAAAGAUCCACAAGGAGCUCCUUUCCUUCUGUCAGACGAAAUGGAGAGGACAGAGAAUGACUCUGACAACAUAUCUGAAGACCAUCCUAUGCCUAAUGCAUUUAAUAAUGCAAACCCAAACUCAACCAAUGGAAAGCAAUCUGACUUCCCUUCAAUUGACUUUUCAACCUUUGAACAAAAGUGACAAUGAUAUCAAUCCAACAGAACCAACGAUAAUCAAAAAUCGUAGAAACACUGAUUAUGAUGUACAAGGUGAUGAAGACAUUAAUCAUAUUGAUGCAUUAUGGGAUACAGCCCAAAAUAAUGAAUGGUAUAAAUGGGCAGCCUUUACUGCUAGAGAAACAGGAAAAGAAAAUUGCUUGCUGUGCUCCAAAUCUCCGUUAAACAAAGUAACAGCCAUACCAAAUCCAUAUGACUACCAAGAAUGUGCCAAAUUUGGGAGAAACUUUUGUCAUUUAACAGAUUUUACCAGACCAUAUUGUUUUUCUGAAUGUCUAGGAUUUUUGGGAAAUCCUAAAUUAACAGAUUAUUUUUUAGACCACUCUGGGGAUCUUGGUGUCAGUAUUCAGAUGUUAGCCAAAAUAUAAAAAUUGAAAAACGAAAGUAGAGAUUCCAAAAUUGUAUAGCAUAGAUUAUAAACAGGAAUAUCAGUGUUUCCAUAAACCAAAAGGAACACAAGAUGUGGGCAAAUUUAAAAGAAAAUGUGCUAUUAUUUGGUACAUAGAUAAGAAAAAUUCUUGGAAAUCAGGAAUUCCUUCUAGAGCUCCAGAACUGUUAGCAC